UAAACAAUUCUGAUCUGAUUAUUCCUUUAUAAUCUGAUUUUGAUAAACAGCUGAUGAAACGGGAGGUGUCUUGGCCCUCAGAGAAGAGAUACCCAGGCGAUAUAAUCAGGCUCUCUUAUCUUGCCAGGCAGGGGUUGAUUUCACGACUCCUAUUAAUAGCUCAUGAUGGCAAGAACUGUGACCUCUGCCCUGAAUCUUCCGAGCCUUGAGAGCGAAGUGACAGCAGCCAAUUGGGUAUGGUUUUCCAGUCCUGGGGACCUUACACCUUUGAAGCCAGCACUCUGAGCACAAGCUGUACUCCAGCCUGCAGAUUCAUGAUUCUGCUGUUGGCUUGUGUUUCCAAACCGAGGAGUCUUGCUGUUGUGUCCAGACAAGCUUUGAGCUCCACAUUCUGCAGCGUCCGCCUGAGUGGGUCUCCAGGGGCGAGCCACACCACAGCAGCUCCCAAUCCCUUUGAAUGCGGCACUCUUGCAACUGUGUUUCCCUUCCUCAGAGUCACCUCCUCCAAGCCGACCUCAACUAGCGCAAGUUCUGCUCGAAGGGAAGAGGCCUCCCCUUGCUCCCCAAAGGUCAAGGAAGAAUAGCUGCGAGCUCUUCUCUCUAGUCCAGCGAGGCGGGGCCGGAGGGGGAGGGGCAAAUGGGUGGCUAGGGUGGGGAAGGAAGAGGUAGAAAAUAUAAGAAGGAAAUGACACACGGGAACAUGUUUUUGAAACGAUGCUUAGUGCUCUAGCAGAGCUGUCAACUCCUAGAAAGCAGGACCAGGCCUGUACUGGAGAGACAGGAAAGUGGGAAAGGACCAUGUCACAGAAGGAUGAAGGCUACUGCCCAACCGCAGACAGAAACAAGAAGCUACCACUCCCACUGUCUGCGUUUGUUUAUAGCCUCUGCUUUUUCUUUAUGACACACAUAUAGAAGACGUGGUGAUGGAGGUAGAUGAAACACACAGAUACCCAGACUGAGAGAAAACAUUUAUUAAACUUUUAACCUUCAUCCCCAGCUUAUAGGAAGCAGAAACACCCAGAUGUUGUUUAAGUCGGGGAGUUUCCAGCUUUGCAACUGGCAGAAGGCCAGGCACACCGUCAGCGCGUGGGAGAAAGUGGGUUCUUGAGGCUGUGUCAGAAGUUCCAAGUUUAUGAGGCAGUUACAGCUGGAUUUAGCUGGUAUCUACAGGCUUAGGAUCUAAUUGUUUCUUUACAGUGCACUUUAUCUCGAUACAAGUGCACGCGCUAAAUCGAGGGUGGUGGCUCUGUUUUCUUAAUAUUUUUCUGUUUUACAUUUUUUUCUCCAAUGCAAUGAUGAUACUACAAGCUUCUCUUGGGCUCUACCACAUCUGACAGGGCUUAGAAUACUGUGGGUGUGUCCUGAGAGGCCCAGGGCAUUUUACCGUGUAUAUUUUGAAAGACAUCUUGAGCUUAGACUCUUUUUCCCAUAGGAGGACACCCUGGACGACUCUUCUCUAGAAAAUGUAGACACCAAAGAAUACUGAGAGCUCACACAACUAUUUCCAGCUGUGGGAUUCUGGAAGACCCAUGCUUUCUCCCAAGCCUUGAUGUCUCUUUUCUUUUCCCCAUCAGGUUGAGUAGAGCACUAUUGCCUCCUUCCUUCUUUCCUUGGGGACCAUAGCUGGAGGAAGACUCUAUCCGCAGACCUUGCACGUCUUCUGAGAACAACCAAGGGAGGCCUAGGUUUCAUGCCAGGAAGAACAGCCAAUGACCCAUGCCCCAGCUUUAGGGUAGUUACAGCAUCGCCAAGUGUCAAUGUCUGCUCUGCUGCCCCAAAUGAAGAGCCCUACACCAGUGGCUCAUGCCAGAAAUUAGAGCUGAGCCCUCACAACUCUGUAGGUAGUGAGUCUAAGAUCCUGAUGCCAGCCUGCCGGUUUCUUUGGCAACCCCUCUGCCUGGCUUGCAAAUGGCAGCUGCACCCCAUUUCUCUGCACAGUCUUCCUUCUUUGAUAUCUUCUCCUGUAAGGGCUCCAGUCAUAUUGCAUGAGGGUCCCUUCAUGACCUUAUUUUAACUCUGCUGUUUCUCUAAAGAACCUGAACAUGUGGCAUCGUAGAGUCAGAUGUCAACAAACAUGAAUCAAGACAGGAAUUGGUAAACCCAGAGUGACACUGUGUCAACCGCUCUCAGAAGGCUGGGAUCUUUCCGUAUCCUGCAGCCCCAGGCUACGGCUGAUCCAGUAGUGCCCUUCUCACCUUUUUUUUUUUUUUUUUUUUUUUUUUUAACAAAACUACCCAUUUCACCAGCCUUUCUGAGAGUCAUAGACCAGUUGUCUCUAGGAUCUCAGUCCCUGUGUGUUGGGAUGUGUUCUGGAACAAUCUUCUUAGAGCCUCCAGCAUUGCCAAGCUGGUGCUCAAUGUGCUUCUUCAUCUGGAAUUACCUCCCCUGGUGUCUUAGUCAGGGUUUCUAUUCCUGCACAAACAUCAUGACCAAGAAACAAGCUGGGGAGGAAAGGGUUUAUUCAGCUUACACUUCCACACUGCUGUUCAUCACCAAAGGAAGUCAGGACUGGAACUCAAGCAGGUCAGGAAGCAGGAGCUGAUGUAGAGGCCACGGAGGGAUGUUACUUACUGGCUUGCUUCCCCUGGCUUGCUCAGCUUGUUUUCUUAUAGAACCCAAGACUACCAACCCAAGGAUGGCACCACCCACAAGGGGACCUCCCCCCUUGAUCACUAAUUGAGAAAAUGUCCAACAGCUGGAUCUCAUGGAGGUAUUCCCUCAAUUGAAGCUCCUUUCUCUGAGAUAACUCCAGCCUGUGUCAAGUUGACACACACCACCAGCCAGUACACCUGGUUAUCCUGUGUGGGGAGCGGGUGUGGCGGCAGUCCCAAAGGCGCCAGGGACUGCAGCUAAGUCAUAUGACUUGCACCUGACUUCCUCAUAUAAGACACAAACAUCUUGAGUGCUGGGCAGGUGUACCAGGAUACAGGUGAAUCCAGUCUGAUGGAGAUUUGCCCCUGCUGCCCUGAUUAGCUGAAGCUGCGUGCCUGGUGAGGUGGCGUGGCCUGCUGUGCGUGGAUGGGAACUGAGAGUAUAAAAGAGUGAGAGGCCCAGGGUUCGGGGGAGAUAUAAACAGGGGAGAUAUAAACAGGGGAGAUAUAAACAGGGGAGAUAUAUGGAGAAAGAAGAAACAGGACUGAAUAAACGUGUGCAGAAGGAUCCUGUAGCAGCGUCGUUCUUCCUGGCCAGUUGGGCGCGCGUAACAGUUGGUGCCGGAAACCCGGGAAGAAAAACUCGGGACGGGACGAGAAGACCUGGGACGAGAAGACCUGGGACGAGAAAACCCGGGAAAAGAAACAUCUUCAGGCACGAGUGAAGACCCCCUGCUACAGGGAGGAUUCAGAACUGCAUAACGGGGAAGAAGUGGUUAAUAAAGGUUCCCGUAAAACAGACUGUUGAGAAGGAUCCGGCGUGGAUUCAGAACUCUUCAGCUGGGGAACGGUACUGAUGAAGAGAAAGAAGAAAGAUGAAGACUGAAUAAACUGCUGUUAGAAGGACUGGUGGUCGCAUCGUUCUUGCUGGUCGAGAGCAGGCGUGACAAUUGGUGGCCCGUACGGGGAACCGACUCCCCCACCGAGUUCAGAACUUUCAGCAGUCAGUGGUUGCCGGCAGGGUAAGUUCACGGUGAGUGAAACUUGCGACCCCAGGAGUUUAGGAAGGACCUCGAUAAAAUAGAGGUGAGCAUAAAGUUGCCAGGAAGUAGGCACAAAGUAACCCAGGAGUUUGGGAAGGACCUCGGAUAAAAUAGAGGCAAGCAUAAAGUUGCCAGGAAGCAGGCACAAGGUAACGAAAGGUUCCCGGCUUUGGGACAAGUUAAGGUUCCCGGUUUGGGGACAAGUUAAGGAACUAUGAUAACCUCAGUGUAGUGAUCAAUAGAUCCUCGCUGUGUAGUUAUGCUUUUUUCUCCCAUUGACCCUUUGUGGGUAGGUCUGAUAGUUUUGGUCUUGCUUGUUCUGAUAUAUGGACUCUGUUACUGUUUGAAUCAAGAGGCAGUCAAGACAGGUCAGAAAAUCCUUAUAGAGCAACAAGAAAGUAUGUCGGAAGAGGAGAAGGGCUUAAAAAGAAAAAGGAAAAAGAAAGGAGACACAGUGUUAUCAGGUGGACAGAAAGGACAAAAUAAAAGAGCUGAGGCGGAGGAGGAAGGCGAAUUAGCUUCUGCUCCCCCUCCCUAUGCCUCCUCGUCAGCCAUCUAUGGGCAGACCUUCUGUCCGGAGGUCUGGAAAGAGGAUAGAUUCUCCUUGCUGGGAUGUCCUAUUUUCACUGAUCAAGCUGAAUUUGCAUGGGAUAGAGAUAUGCUGCUUGAUCAAGGUAGAUUUGCACAACAACAAACAGGAUAUCCACUGCAGGUGUUUGAGCAGGUGAAUCAGAUUGCUAUAAGGGCAUGGAAAUCAUUGCCCAACAGAGGGGAAGCUAGUGAAAACUUGACUCUCAUAUUGACUCCCCAGAUGGACACACAGGUGAUUGAGGUUAUGGUCUCAUCACCACGAGGUACUGUGUCCAUCUCCCCUGGGGAUCGACAGGAUCAGGUGUUGACGUGGGCGAGAGGGUCUGUUUGUGUGUUUCCACAGGACCAGACAGAACCUCUUUUCGUGCCGGAGAGAUUGGUGAGACGCUGCAAGAAUGAGGCUCCUGAUCCAGUUGCCCCUGUGGAUGUGGUGGAUAUUCCCACAAGCACAAACGAUGGAGCCGAGAUGAGAGAUCCUUUCGGUAUUCCAGAAGCCGAUACCAGCUCGACAUGACAUUCAAAUUUUUCCACGCUUUUUGAUCCCUGAAUUCCCCUUAAAGAGAUAGCCCCGCUGGCCAUCUAUCCCUUGCUUCAGGGAAGAUGAGCGGGGAUGAGAGCCCUGGGAUGUGUGCUUGUUAUAGUGUGUGUGUGUUUUGUGUUGGGCACAUGUGUUAGGUGCAGAGUGUGCGGUCCGCACUUUCGCCAUGGUAGCAUAGGCUUUUGCUGCAGUGGAGGCGGGACAAUCUCCUCAGAUUCGGUUUGCCGCUCUAAAAGAAAUUAUGCUGCGUUAUGCCGUGGGGUGCGAGGCUAAGCACUGCACAGAGGAUAGCUUGCUGUUGGCAUCCUGUGGAAGGCACGUCUGAUUGCAUGAAGGUUCAGUGUCCUAGUUCCCUUCCCCUAGGAAAAACGACACGGGAGCUGGCCAAGACCUCUCUGGGUGAUGAGCCUAAGGGAUGGUUUUGUGUAGGGCCCCUAUGCUUGCACACUGGGGAUCAGACCUCUACCUUCACCCAUGAGGCUUGCUUGCAGCAAUUAAGAUCUGGCCAUAGAUUAAUCAACAUCCUGGCCUUUUGAUGCACCUGCCACAAGCAAAACACAAUCUCCCCAGGUGUGGCUUGGCAUGAUAGAGAGGUAGUCAGUGAUAAGACUCCCUGGGCAUGUCACCAACCUAAGACAGGGAUCAAACCAAUGCUGUUUGUCACCCAAGGACGGGUAAGGGGCAUGGCUGCGGGGGGCUAUCUACAGACAUUCUCUCUGCCAAAAAAGAAAAAAGGGGGAAUUGUGGGGAGCGGGUGUGGCGGCAGUCCCAAAGGCGCCAGGGACUGCAGCUAAGUCAUAUGACUUGCACCUGACUUCCUCAUAUAAGACACAAACAUCUUGAGUGCUGGGCAGGUGUACCAGGAUACAGGUGAAUCCAGUCUGAUGGAGAUUUGCCCCUGCUGCCCUGAUUAGCUGAAGCUGCGUGCCUGGUGAGGUGGCGUGGCCUGCUGUGCGUGGAUGGGAACUGAGAGUAUAAAAGAGUGAGAGGCCCAGGGUUCGGGGGAGAUAUAAACAGGGGAGAUAUAAACAGGGGAGAUAUAAACAGGGGAGAUAUAUGGAGAAAGAAGAAACAGGACUGAAUAAACGUGUGCAGAAGGA